AAAGAUGGCCUCUACUUGUAAGCUAUCGCUUUACGAUGGGUCUGCGUCUGAUUAGCUAGUUGGUGGGGUAACGGCCUACCAAGGCGACGAUCAGUAGCCGGUCUGAGAGGAUGAACGGCCACAUUGGAACUGAGACACGGUCCAGACUCCUGCGGGAGGCAGCAGUGGGGAAUCUUCCGCAAUGGGCGCAAGCCUGACGGAGCAACGCCGCGUGAGUGAAGAAGGGUUUCGACUCGUAAAGCUCUGUUGUCGGGGACGAACGUGGAGAUGGUGAAUAACCAUUUCCAAUGACGGUACCUGACGAGGAAGCCACGGCUAACUACGUGCCAGCAGCCGCGGUAAUACGUAGGUGGCGAGCGUUGUCCGGAAUUAUUGGGCGUAAAGGGAGCGCAGGCGGGAGAUCAAGUCUAUCUUAAAAGUGCGGGGCUCAACCCCGUGAGGGGAUGGAAACUGGUCUUCUUGAGUGCAGGAGAGGAAAGCGGAAUUCCUAGUGUAGCGGUGAAAUGCGUAGAUAUUAGGAGGAACACCAGUGGCGAAGGCGGCUUUCUGGACUGUAACUGACGCUGAGGCUCGAAAGCGUGGGGAGCGAACAGGAUUAGAUACCCUGGUAGUCCACGCCGUAAACGAUGAAUGCUAGGUGUAGGAGGUAUCGACCCCUCCUGUGCCGGAGUUAACGCAAUAAGCAUUCCGCCUGGGGAGUACGGCCGCAAGGCUGCAACUCAAAUGAAUUGACGGA
rnacentral:rRNA from 2 species